UCCUAUCUGCAACACCCUCUUGUUCGGCCUCAGAUAAUCCAGGAAGUACACCUGGCUUGCAAGAAAUUUGGUUUCUUCCAGGUACUACUUGUCAUGCACUGUCGUGUCGUGUCCAUGUCACCUGCAACUGCAUACUAGAUAAGAAAGUGUUACCCUAUUCGUUUACUUUGUUCCUUGCGAUAGGAUCCAAAUAAGGAAAAAGAUGUCGUCAGAUCAUCAACAUAUAGAAAGAACUUAAUGUCACACAUGGUGCAUUAAGGUUCUAGGUCUCAUCUCCUUUGUCUUCUCAUUAACCUUUAUUUUCAGAUUCACUUAAACAAGUCAAUGUCCAAGAUUUCAGCUACUUAGGUUGUCUUGUUGAAGUGUGUGACCAUCUCAUCUAAAAGCUUAAGCUAUUAGAGAGAGCACACUUUUAUUAUUUAAUUAUAUUCUCAACACGCCCCCACACGUGCGGGCCUGAUUUUUUUUCAUGGGCCAAGCACGUGGAAAUUCUUUUUUGAUUUGGGUUGGCGGUGAGAUUCGAUCUCAGGACCUCUGCCUGCUCUGAUACCAUGUUGAAGUGUGUGACCAUCUCAUCUAAAAGCUUAAGCUAUUAGAGAGAGCACGCUUUUAUUAUUUAAUUAUAUUCUCAACAUGUCUAAUAGGAAGAAAAAUAUGACGUUCUUCACAAAUUCAGCUGAGCGUAAAAUAACACCAUGCAUGCAAUAAAUGAUUCUGCAGGUAGUUAACCAUGGAAUCCCAAUGUCAGUCAUGAAAGAUGCUAUAGAUGCUGCGAGCGAAUUCUUCAAUUUACCAACUGAAGAGAAAAGGCAUCUCUUGUCUUCAAAUGUUCAUGACCCCGUAAGAUAUGGUACCAGUCUAAAUCAUGUCAAAGACAAAGUAUACUUUUGGAGAGACUUCCUCAAGCACUAUGCUAAUCCAACCUCAACUUGGCUCGACUUUUGGCCAUCAAAUCCCACAGCUUACAAGUAAGUCUUUCAUUUUCUUUACUGAAUAUUUUUAGCAGAAAAGUUGUCUUGUAGAUUCAACUUCUUACUGUUCAAGAACGAUAUAAUUUCUUCAAGAUCCUAAAGAAAUUCUUCAUGCAGGAAGAAAAUGGGAAACUACACAGUGGCAGCACAAAAGUUGCAAGAAGAACUCAUGGAGGUGAUAUUUGAGAGCUUAGGACUAAACAGUAAUUACUUACAUGAAGACAUUGCAGAAGGUUCCCAGGUCAUGGCAGUUAAUUGCUAUCCAGCAUGUCCUGAGCCAGAUCUUACACUAGGAUUGCCACCACAUACAGAUUAUGGUAUGCUAACAAUCAUUCUUCAAAACCAUCUGGGCUUGCAAAUCAUGGAUCGAGAUGAAAAG
rnacentral:lncRNA from 1 species